UAAACAAAGUUAUCUUAAGUUCUUAACAAAUAUUUAUAAUUUUAUACCUCAUUCCUGAACCUCAGAACCUGAUACGGUGAGACUUGAGAGGGGCGGAGAGCAGAGAAUCAGAGAGAGGCUGAGGCGGUCCAGGCGGAGGCGGAGGAGCUUCAAGCUAGCUGCCUUGCUUGAGCCUUGAGCUGUUGUCUGUUGAGCAGAUGAGAACAGACUGAACGGUGGAGACUGGAGACUAGAGAGAGGCGGAGAGCAGAGACUAGAGAGAAAGGGACAACUGCAAGUCAGAAAUUUGGAAGGGCAGAUUAGUCAUUGCAAUGGAUCUAAUGGAAUGUUUUGGAAAAGAAUUAGUUGAUCAAAGAAGAAUACAUGGAGAGUUAUCUUGGCAAAAUUGAUUCUUCUUUUGCACUUUGUCUAAUGAAAAGCCAAAAAGGAUAACUUCUUCAAGGGUUUCUGGAAAGCAAACAGUUUCUCUUUCCCAUGCCAUUGGUAGAUUCUAGUCAAGGGAUAAUAUAAUAAAAGCCUUGUAGGACAUUAUUGAUUUUUUGUUACAAAGGAGAAAGUGUAACUCUGGUCGGUUAAGAUAAUAGCCAAAAUUCUCUUCAGAUGUGCAGCCAAAUAGAUUCUUCUGUCCCAUGAAAUUAAUUUUAUAUUUGGAAUGAUGAUCUCAAUCCAUUGCAGUCAAUAAGGAAAAUCAUGGCACAUUGGAAGUUGCUGGGAUAUCUAAUUGGGCUUGAUUGGACAGUGGACAAUAAAAGCCCACCAUGGCUUUUCAAUGGAACUAUGGAAGAAGCAUAGGACCUAAAUACAAUUAACUACCUAUUCUUAUAACUCAAUUGGAAUGAACAAGCCCAGGCCAAUUGGGUAAUAAAGAUAGUAUGGGCUUAAGUUAGCCCCUCCACAAGUUGGACAGAUAUAAAAUCCACCAGCCCAACUUGAAAUGUUUUGGGAGACUGAGACCUGGAGAGACCAAUGGCCAGAGACAGAAUUUUUUUGGGCCAAUCCAAAGGAUUCUGAGAUUUAAAUUUACUUUCAUCAUUGUUCUUUGUUCAUUGAAUUGCUACAAAGGGUAAAGUUUGGUUUACCCUUUUAAUUGGGAUUCUCUGUCGUCUUAAGAUUCGAAGCGUUGUUUACUUCAAUAUUGUCUUUUUCCA